rnacentral:rRNA from 1 species
UAAGGUGAUUAUUGCAAUAGGGCUCACCUCUUCCCAUUCCGAACAGAGCAGUUAAGCCUAUUAGCGCAGAUGGUACUAGCAUUGCUGGGAGAGUAUGUCAUCGCCUUUU